rnacentral:rRNA from 1 species
AGCAGCCGCGGUAAUUCCAGCNCCAAUAGCGUAUAUUAAAGUUGUUGCAGUUAAAAAGCUCGUAGUUGAAUUUCGGGAUUAGUACGUUGGUCGUGCCUUCGGUACGUACUGGUGUUACUGAUUCCUACCUUCUGACGAACCAUCAUGUCAUUAAUUUGGUGUGGCGGGGAAUCAGGACUGUUACUUUGAAAAAAUCAGAGUGUUUAAAGCAGGCUCGCGCUUGAAUACAUUAGCAUGGAAUAAUGAAAUAGGACGUUGACCCUAUUUUGUUGGUUUCUAGGAUUGACGUAAUGAUUAAUAGGGAUAGUUGGGGGCAUUAGUAUUCAAUUGUCAGAGGUGAAAUUCUUGGAUUUAUUGAAGACUAACUACUGCGAAAGCAUUUGCCAAGGAUGUUUUCACUAAUCAAGAACGAAAGUUAGGGGAUCGAAGACGAUCAGAUACCGUCGUAGUCUUAACCAUAAACUAUGCCGACUAGGGAUCGGAUGAUGUUAUUUUUAAUGACUCA